GUGUGAAGGUGGGAAAACAAGUCCUUCACAGGCAAUCUCAAGCUGCCAUGAGUCUGCUCUGACCCUGUCCAUGUGAAAACAUGACCAGCGGGACAUUCGCGCACAGCCUGGCUGCCCUGAGGGGAGGAGGAAGGCUGAGGGGCGCUGAGGGGCGGCGGGCGCCAUGUUGGGUGCCUGAGGGUCCGUGAGGGGACAGCCGGCCAUGGCCGCUCCAGGUUCUGCACAACCUCAGAUUUGUGCUGAUGUUUUUACUUCAGAGCUGAUCCUAAUGUCUUUCUUUUGAAGCAUUUUAGUAUCAGAAGUGUUCGAAUGGCAGACUGAGAAAAGCUGGUACAAGGGAGCCUUGGUACAACUGCUGGCCCACUCUUCAGGCAACUG